rnacentral:rRNA from 1 species
AGAGUUUGAUCCUGGCUCAGGACGAACGCUGGCGGCGCGCCUAACACAUGCAAGUCGAACGAGCGAGAGAGAGCUUGCUCUCUCGAGCGAGUGGCGAACGGGUGAGUAACGCGUGAGGAACCUGCCUCAAAGAGGGGGACAACAGUUGGAAACGACUGCUAAUACCGCAUAAGCCCACGGGUCGGCAUCGACCAGAGGGAAAAGGAGCAAUCCGCUUUGAGAUGGCCUCGCGUCCGAUUAGCUAGUUGGUGAGGUAACGGCCCACCAAGGCGACGAUCGGUAGCCGGACUGAGAGGUUGAACGGCCACAUUGGGACUGAGACACGGCCCAGACUCCUACGGGAGGCAGCAGUGGGGAAUAUUGCACAAUGGGGGAAACCCUGAUGCAGCGACGCCGCGUGGAGGAAGAAGGUCUUCGGAUUGUAAACUCCUGUUGUUGAGGAGGAUAAUGACGGUACUCAACAAGGAAGUGACGGCUAACUACGUGCCAGCAGCCGCGGUAAAACGUAGGUCACAAGCGUUGUCCGGAAUUACUGGGUGUAAAGGGAGCGCAGGCGGGAAGACAAGUUGGAAGUGAAAUCCAUGGGCUUAACCCAUGAACUGCUUUCAAAACUGUUUUUCUUGGGUAGUGCAGAGGUAGGCGGAAUUCCCGGUGUAGCGGUGGAAUGCGUAGAUAUCGGGAGGAACACCAGUGGCGAAGGCGGCCUACUGGGCACCAACUGACGCUGAGGCUCGAAAGUGUGGGUAGCAAACAGGAUUAGAUACCCUGGUAGUCCACACCGUAAACGAUGAUUACUAGGUGUUGGAGGAUUGACCCCUUCAGUGCCGCAGUUAACACAAUAAGUAAUCCACCUGGGGAGUACGACCGCAAGGUUGAAACUCAAAGGAAUUGACGGGGGCCCGCACAGGCAGUGGAGUAUGUGGUUUAAUUCGACGCAACGCGAAGGACCUUACCAAGUCUUGACAUCCUGUGACAGACGUAGAAAUACGUUCUUCCUUCGGGACACAGAGACAGGUGGUGCAUGGUUGUCGUCAGCUCGUGUCGUGAGAUGUUGGGUUAAGUCCCGCAACGAGCGCAACCCUUAUGGUCAGUUACUACGCAAGAGGACUCUGGCCAGACUGCCGUUGACAAAACGGAGGAAGGUGGGGAUGACGUCAAAUCAUCAUGCCCUUUAUGACUUGGGCUACACACGUACUACAAUGGCGUUAAACAAAGAGAAGCAAGACCGCGAGGUGGAGCAAAACUCAGAAACAACGUCCCAGUUCGGACUGCAGGCUGCAACUCGCCUGCACGAAGUCGGAAUUGCUAGUAAUCGUGGAUCAGCAUGCCACGGUGAAUACGUUCCCGGGCCUUGUACACACCGCCCGUCACACCAUG